AAUGCAUUUCUGCAGCAGCUGCAGUCAACAUGUUGCUGGUGUGCUUUUGUGGCUUUGUAGCCCACCACAAGUCCGAGAACCCACCACACUCGAUUGUAGUAUUCGUAUCCGUGUGUUUUUGUAUCUGUGAGUUUCGCACAGUAUCUGUGUAUCUGUGUGUGGGCUUGCACGUGUUUCGCCAAAGGAUUACCACUGAGAACCUAGAAUCCGAAGCUCAGCUGUUGUUGUUGGCCAAGUGCACUGAACAAAAUAUCACACCAUAUGAUGUAUGAUUUGAUUAUUUUGAAUUCCCAAUUGAUAUAUUAAAAUAUUUAAAUCUUCUGAAUAAUUUUUUGUAAAUUAUGACCCUAUAACUUUACAAUAUGCCAAAUUAAUGAAUUUUUUCUCUCUCUCAUAAUUGUCCGAAUCCCGUCGGGUUUUUAUUACAAGGGCUUGACACAAGUGCACACUGUUAAGCGGAUUGAUAAGAAAAGUGUCGAAAAUAGACUGCAUUUGCUUCCAGUGUAAUGUUGGCCGUGUUGCUUUUGCCGUUUGUGGGCUUGUCGCCUGACUGACAUUUCCUUUUGAUGCGCCUACGUGCCCGCUUUGGCAUAUGCAUUAGUUGGCCCCCACAGGGGCGGUCGAAGGGAGUGGAAGCGGGGGCGGGGCAACUCCAAUGAUCGAACGUGACAUUUUAGCCCCACACAACACAACAUACAACGUACGACUCAACGCAGAACUCAGAAGGCCCAGAACACUUGGCUCAAAACUCAAAAGUCUUGCGCAUGACGCAGCUGGCGGAAAAGGGGCAAAAAAAAGGGAAAAGUGGGCGAAAAACAAACGACUUGAGUGAGUUUUUCCCGCCUUGAGUCUGUAUAUUCUCACAGUCAAUUGCAUUGUUUUUGUUCAGCCGCUAAUUGUGGGUGUUGUUCUUGUUUCGGUGAUGCAACCAUUAGGCGAACAAUUUGCGCGGCUAUCAUGGCUGCAAAUGCAUGUCAGAUGAGUCUAUCAAGGUGCAAUAUUGAAAUUAACAUAAUGAAAACUAUAACUAUAAUCGAAGCCCAGCACCUGUUAUUAGUAACUUCAAGUGGAUUCAAAUUAAAUUAUCAAUUACUUGAGUUACUUUGUACCUAUUUUAUGUGUAUUGUAUAGUUAUAUUUCUCAAAAGCCAUUAAAUUGCUUAGAACCUUGCUUGUUAGAGAUUCUUCUAACAAGACCUUAAUUGCUCUUGUUGCACAGCAGGCAAGAUUCUCAAUGACUGACAUCUCCUGAGGAGCAGGAAGACGCCCUCUCACCUGAAAAAAAAAGGAAAAAACCGAGCUAAUUACGAUGCACACACCUCGGGUCACAAAGGCAACACUUGCUGUGCCCUUUUAUCUUUAUGACAUAAUCUCCGCGCCCAGAUGACCGCAAAGUACGGCUAGAAAUUCUAUUCUUCGCCGCUCAUCGUUGGGCAUUUCGAUUCUUUUCCCACUAAUCAACAGGGAUUUUCCCUCAACUCAGCGGCAAUUUAUGGACAACGAGGGGCGCAAGCACAUGUUCCAUUCGGAUGCGAACAAAGAGACAGAUGCAGAUACACAGAUACGGAUCGGGUUUUUAGGGAUCGCUGCGUAUUUAUUACAUCACAGUCAGUCAGAAGGUGGAAUAAGUGAAAGAGGAAGCAAGAGGCAGAAAAAACGAAAUAAAACGAAAAGAACAGAAGGGGUGAAGCAACAGCAGCAGCAGCAGGAAUCACAGAACUCUGCUGUUCGACGGUUGAAAACCGAAAGUGCCAUGAGGUAGUAGUAGCCUAUAGACCUACAUAAAGCAGGGUCACCCGAUAACAACAGGAUAAACGAUGAGAAGAGGGGGCAUUGUUUCGCUUUCAUUCAGACUCGCAAUCGGAAUCGCUUUGAGAUUCAGAUUCAGAUUCAGAUUCAUUUACGUUCAGAUACCGAUUCCAGGCCCAGGCACAAUUCCGAUCCCCCGAGAAAGGAAGCCAAAGGCGACCAGCAAUAAAUCAAAGACAUAAAGUUGAAUGCACCGGGGCAAAAAGGGAAAAAAGGCAGCAAAGAGGCUAAGGCGGAUGCAAAGUCGUCACCAGCUCGUUGGGAACCUGAAGACGCGAACCUUGAGAACCUUCAACUCGACUCGUAGUGGUCGUGGUCCUACCUCAAUGAGGGAUCUUCAGCCACAAAUCUGAAUGGGGAUAACAAAAAAAUACAAAAAAAAAAAUAAAAUUAUAAAAAACAGAAAUCAAAAAGGAAGCAAGACCAUGUGACGUUUGUUUUGAGAAAACGUCAGCUGAGCGAAAAGGGAGCUCUUGGCAAUCUGGGGUUACUUUUUGCCAAAAGGGUUCUUCUUUGGACAUUGCUUUUAUUUUUGGAGAGCAGGGCGACUGGGGAAAAAAUGGCAUAAUUUGCUUAAGGAAACUUUUCCAAUUUAUAAAUGACAAACAGAAAAAGCGAGCAUAAUGAGGAAAACUUGGAAGUGAACGGCGUUUUUCCCCCGCCCCACGCAACAGCUUUUCAUCUAAAAAGACAUUUUCUCGUUUUUUCUAAUUAAAGUGCCUGGAGAUUUGCAUAAAAGAAGGGCUACCGAGGAAUCGUCGUUGAGCGGAAAAAAGGAGCAAACGUUUAAGCAUUAAUCAAAAAAUCAGCUGAAAAUUAAAAACGAAUCCCAAAGAUGCGGGGGUAAAAGGACUGGUGGAGUGGCAAAAAGCAAAAGCAACUGAAAACCCAACUGGAGUUUGGGAAAGUUUCAAUUAAUUUUGUGCCUCUCCUACAUGAGUUUCUCAAUUUGGGUCACCUUUUGGCCACAUGUAUCCCCACAAGCAUUGCCUGCAAAAGAUGCAGAUACAGAUAUAUGUAUAUAUGGGAUGCAGCAACGCCCAGACACGUCCAAUGUUCCGUGAUUUCUCUCAGUGAAAAUUACCACUGACAAUAACUGAGGAAAGGAUGAAAGUGCGGUUGAGGCAGAGGAGGAUGCCGAAUGAUGUGGAUGUGAAUGCGAAUGCGAAAUUCUUGCAGUGGGUCGGCGGUUGGUUAAGUGGUCCUUGAUAAGCGGCUGCCAGCUUAAAACCGUAAUGCGCUUUACCAACUUCACUUCACUUCAGCCCGUGUAUAUAUGUAUAUAUAUAUUUUGGUGUGCGCCGAUACAUAUAACUAUACGUAGUAUAAAAACCAAAAAAAAAAUAAACUCUUUGCGCUGCUGAUGAAAUAUCAAUAUUGAAGCAGAGGAAAUUUUAAUUCGAUAGUCGUGAGAGACAAGCUGGCAAAAAAAAAACAAAAUAAAAAAGAAAAACAAGGAAGAAAUAUAAAAGGAGAUUGCAUGCACUGCUGUUCAGUUAGUGGAAGCGUUAAAAAUGCCACUGAUUUCGCCGAUCUCUGUUGCAGUCUUUUCAUUAUUUAUUUAAUGGCAUACAGGUGCAUUUGCAACUGGAUUCGUAUGUUUUCCCAUUAAGAAAUGAAGAGAAAAGCGGAGGGAUUUAUAUAUUUAAAAGCGCUCUUGUAAGCAGUAAAAUGCUUUUGCAUACACUCAUGUAAAUUGAAAUUUGUAAAUGGCAAAUGUUUUUUGUAAUUGGAACAAUUAUUUCGCGUUUGUCAAUAAAGUGCUAUUCUUCAUUCAAUUAAACAGCAUUCAUGAACCAAAAAUGCAAUCUAGAUUUAAUUAAAAUAAUUCCAAUCUAAAUGGAAACGAUGUUUUUUUCAUCAACAUAAAUUAAUUUGUUGUGUUAUUUUGCCAUUUGAUAUACAUAAGUGGAUCGGAUUAUAUAUUUCAUAUAUAAUGCAAUGUAGUUUGGUUGGUUUUCUUGUUAGCAAAGAAAAAUUAAAUUUAAUAUAUAUAAUAUUCAGAUUUUGUUAUCAAUUAAUAUUGUAAGUGUUUAAAAUAGUUGAGUGAUUAAAAUAGAAACCAAAGUAGCAAAGAUAGUUUUGAACUCAAACAUUGAAAAAGUGUCUAAUUUAUUUAACACAUUGCUUUAUUAACAAGUUGUAGCUUUUAUGUAAAAUAGCCAAAUCUUUUAUUUGUAUUAAUUAAGCAGAUGUGAUUUGAAAAAUGUUGUGCCAAAGUUGAGAACUCAAAAGCAUUCUGUUUACUUAACAAUUUGCCAGAAAUAAACGUGUCGCUUAAAACUUACUUGUUGUGUUGACCCAACAAAUGCACGGCAAACUUUGUCCAGAGCGUGGUUCUCUUUUUGCGGUCCAAAGCGAAAGUUGUUACAGUUUGUUAAGUUGCAAUUUAUGUUUCAGUUUUAUAAUAUAAUUUAUACACAAAGUUGUAUACACGGUUGGCGUCGAUAUGUAGUUUGGCUAUGGAUGUGAGAUGUGGGGUAUGGGGGGAAAAACUUCACCCGACUAAAAGUCAAUGUCACAUGACACGCGCACGAUUCACCAACACUGAGGCACUUUCGAGGCUUUACAGUUAGUGGCUAACAAGUUGAGAGCCACCAACUAGCAACUGGCUCACUGACUGGCUGGUCGGUCAGGAGUUCCAGGCCAGUUCCAGUUCCAGUUCCCGGCCAGACAAUAAAAUUUGCGCCAUAAAUCAAUGCAGCUCUCUGCAAGUUUGCUGGCCGUCUCGUCGUUUCGUCGUGGUUCCGCUGCAAAAAGUCUGCAAGUGUCACACUGGCAGCAACUGCAAAUGCAAUAGCAACAACUGGAUUCUGGCUUUUAGACCGAGUUAUGUUGUGUAUGGCUGAUCUUGGCCAGUCUGCUGAUGACUAAGAUUUAUUCGUGGCAACUGGCAACUGGCCACUGGUUACUGGCCACUGGCAACUGGCGACAUCGGCUGCUGGCGGGUAACUGCACAAGGCCGACUGGCAGGAUGAACCACGGAGCCUGUCCCGGCUGAAAAUCACCAAUGUUUUACCAUCUCUCAUCCGAAACAAGGGGGUGGCAUUGGCCGUGGCCGUGGCAGAAACACGCAAAAAACAACUGAAAAAUAAAUAAAAAUCAGCGGGAAUAUACCUAUAUAUAUAUACAUACAUAUAUAUAUAUAUACACUCAUACGUAUGCAAAUUAAAAGGGAGUUGGAAAUAAAAAUGGAGCAGCAGCCAUCAACCGCAGAACGCCGACUGCGCUGCCCUUUGCAAUUUUUUCUAAUGAACCGCGAUUUGCGCUCAAGCAAAAAAAAAGCGGGGAAAUGCCGUCCGAUUUUCAGAGAUAUUCCUAUACUUUUUACCCCGCUUCAAAUGGAGUUACUUUUUGAGUCAAAGAAGCGAGGACGAUGUAUUAUGGUCCACAGUUACUUAUAGCUUUUUUUAAGUAUAUUUUAUGAUUACAUGUUAAAAUUUGUAGAGCGCUAUCUAUCACUUUCCAUUUGACAUUACUUUUAGUUUAAAUU